rnacentral:rRNA from 1 species
AUUGAACGCUGGCGGCAGGCCUAACACAUGCAAGUCGAACGAGUGGCGGACGGGUGAGUAAUGUCUGGGAAACUGCCUGAUGGAGGGGGAUAACUACUGGAAACGGUAGCUAAUACAGCAUACCAUCAGAUCUGCACAGGUGGGAUUAGCUAGUAGGUGGGGUAAUGGCUCACCUAGGCGACGAUACCUAGCUGGUCUGAGAGGAUGACCGGCCACACUGGAACUGAGACACGGCCCAGACUCCUACGGGAGGCAGCAGUGGGGAAUAUUCCACAAUGGGCGCAAGCCUGAUGCAGCAAUGCCGCGUGUGUGAAGAAGGCCUUCGGGUUGUAAAGCACUUUCAGCGAGGAGGCGUUACUCGCAGAAGAAGCACCGGCUAACUCCGUGCCAGCAGCCGCGGUAAUUC